CACGCAAGCUUGUCUCUCUACAUCAACAAGAAGGACACUUGCUGAAGUGUGUUGCUCCCAUAAAACAGCAAGAACCUAUUGGGAAGAGCCUCCACAGAGAAAUAGGCCAUAUCCAAGAAAAGAAGCAGAAUGGUAAAAGAGUUGAGGUGGGAGCCAGACAGCCUCUUCUUGUUUUCCAUAUGAGGUGGAAAGAGCUGAUCAUCUGACAAGAAAACCAGAAUACUUCUUGAAUAUUUGGCAAGCUCCAACUUCAAGCUCAUUGAUUUAGUCAAGAGCAAUUUCACUUCAAGAGCUUGAGAAAUGCCACCUUGAAAGGAAUAACUGAGUUCACAGUUUCUCUUCUGAAACUUCAUUUGCACUGUUAUCUUGCUAUGGUUGAGGGCUUACACCAAUAACCUAACCCCACCAAACUAAGUCAUGCAAAGAGUUUUGAAAUGAG
rnacentral:lncRNA from 1 species